UCCGCUUUAGUACAGUGGUUAGUAUACCUGGCUUUCACCCAGGCGACCCGGGUUCGAACCCCGGAGGCGGAA